AUGAUAAAUGAGUUGUCUGUCAUCUUUACAUCCUUCCUCUUAUGGCAGCUGAAUGCUAUCGCUCAUUUCUUCAGAUGGAAUUCAGGUGUAAAAGAAAGAAGAAAUGAGAAGAAGUUAAAUGACUCCUUUAACAGAAAGAAGAACUUCAAGCAGCGCUUGCACACUGAUUUCUACCUAUGCUUGUACAAAGUACACACAUUUUCUAUACCAUGUGAAUUAAAAAAAUUUUUUUUUCUGAGCCAUCACUAUAUGCAGUCAUUUGGAAUAGAUAGGGUAAUAUGGAUACACAGGGAUAAAGAUGGAGCAGAAACCGAGGGAACAGUAA
rnacentral:lncRNA from 1 species